CGUUAUGGCUGCUGUGUAUGGGAGGCCCUCGGGUCUGCCGGGUGACUCCACCGGUCUUGCACACCUAUGCACAGCUGCCACCCCU
rnacentral:antisense_RNA from 1 species